CACAUAUUCAUGUGUGUCUUCUUGGGAAGUUGAUUCUUCUUCCGGUGUGCCGAUGACAACAGCCAUGGGCAACAGGACCUCUUUUCCAAAAACCAUUUUGUUUGGUGUGAGCCCAGUGCUGGCGUGAGGUGAAGACCUGAAGUGGUCCAGUAACAUCCACGCAGACCUUCUCCAUUGCGUUGUAUACUGGAUUUUGCCCUAGUGGAGCCCUGACCUUGGGUGCUGGUUUCCGAGAAGCACACACAUCACAUUGGUGGAUGUACUUUUGAAGGUCAUCUUUCAACGCUGGCCAAUAACAACACUGCAGAAUACGAAAGAGGCAUUUUUCUAAACCAAGGUGGCCCGCUGAAGUCUGGAUUACACCCGAGACGAGCUGCACAGGCUGAUUUUGAGCGACUGGUUCAACUAAGGCUACUGGUGACAAGUGUUCCUGACUAGGGAUUUUUACAGACACCCACAUGCUGCUAUGUGCCGUUGAGUUGCUUGAUGGCUGCUGCUGGGCCUUUUUUUGUGCCAUCAACGAAGACCCUACUGGGUUGACGGCCUGCCGUUUUCCGGUAAACCUACGACAGUCGGCUGUGUGUACGGUGCCUGGUGAGGUGCUGGAUACCCCAUCCUCUGUGGUGCCUGAUAACCCAUUGAACGCUGGCUGUUGUAGGCUGGUCGCUGACGCGUGGGGCAGUCUCGAAUCAUAUGUUGUUGCGACUGACAGUUAUAGCACA